rnacentral:lncRNA from 1 species
GUGAUCAGAGCAAAACCAUUUUGGUAAAGUCUGAGAUGCCAAAAGGUCUUUAGUCCUUUCCUCUCUUGAACGUAUUGAUGCUAACACUUGGUCACUUCCUCCAUGAGACUACUUGUGGCCUUGGCUUCUAGGACACUCCAGUCUUCUGGGGGUCUCCUUGUACCUGUGAGGCCAUUGCAUCUUAGCUUCCUUAAAUAUCGUUCACUAGGGCCUUCAGUCCACAUAUCUUCUCAUUAUAUAUUAUCCUUCCUGGGUCAUCUCAUCCACCCUCAUGGUUUACUUGUCAUUGAUUUCUAAAUCUGUAUACCUAGCCCCGUGCAUGACCCUGCAUUUCAGACUACAGGCAUACCUUGUUUUAUUGCACUUUGCAGAUAAUUGCAUUCUUUCUAAGACCCUCCACCAGCAAAAAGAUUAUAACUUGCAGAAGGCUCAGAUGAUGUUUAGCACUUUUUAGCAAUACAGUAUUUUUAAAAUUAAGGUAUGUACAUUGUUUUUUUAGGCAUAAUGCUAUUGCACAUUUAGUAGACUGCAGUAUAGUGUAAACAUAGCUUUUAUAUCCCCUUGGAAACCAAAAAAUUCAUGUGACUCGCUUUAUUGUGAUAUUUGCCUUAUUGCAGUAGUCUGGAAUGGAACCCGCAGUCUCACCAAGGUAUGCCUGUUUUAUGUCAAACCACUUGCUGGACACCCCGUAAAGGCAUCUCAGACAGCACAGCUGCAGCUGAGUUCAGCAUCUUCCCCUGGUUUUUCCUGCCUUUGUGUCUUUGCUGAUGGCACCCUGUUUACCCACCCACUCAAGCUGGACCUCUUAACACAAGUGUGGAGGGAAAGUAACACAAAGAACAAGAACUGUGCUGCCAGACGUCACCUGGGUUUCAAUCUUGGCUGAAUCUUAGCUGUUUGACAUGUAAAUCACUUAGCCUCAGUUUCCUCAUCUAUAACAUAGGGAUAAAAAUAGUAGCUCCCUCAUAGGGUGAUUGUGAGGAUUAAAUAGGAAUUCUUGUAAGGCACUUAAAACUGCCUGGCACAGAGUGAGUGCUAUAUCUCGGUUAGCUCUUAUUAGCAUUCUGCCUGUUUUAUUUCCUAAAUAUCUCUCAGGUCCAACCUUACUACUAUUUCGGUUCGAGACUUCACUUCCUCUUUACUAAUUGAUCGAACUACUGCAAAUGUCUCCUAAUUGAUAUUUUUGUGUUCAUUCAUUCAUUCAGCAAGCUAAUUUUUCAAGUACUUUGCUGGGUCCUGCAGGGGCUGCAGAGGCAGAUGAGAGAGAGUACCUGAUCUGAAGAAGCAUGCUGGUGGCCAUGAGAAGACUGACAUAAGGAAGCACCAUAAAAUCCUACUGUGAAGAGGAAAUCUGGAUGCACAGAGACAUCAUCAGGGGCGCACACACACAGAGGGAUGGCCCUGUGUGGACAGAGUGAGCAGGUGGCCGUCUGCAAGCCAAGGAGAACGGCCCCAGGAGGCACAGACACGGGGACGCCUCGAUCAUGGACUUCUGGUCUCCAGAACAGUGAGAACGUAAGCGCGAGGCCUACACGGAUUCCCG